rnacentral:rRNA from 1 species
AUGCAAGUCGAGCGGUAACAGGUGUAGCAAUACAUGCUGACGAGCGGCGAACGGGUGAGUAAUGCUUCGGAAUCUGCCCAAUGGUGGGGAAUAACCAGCCGAAAGGUUGGCUAAUACCGCAUAAGUCCUACGGGGGAAAGCAGGGGAUCGCAAGACCUUGCGCCGAUGGAUGAGCCGAAGUCGGAUUAGCUAGUUGGUAGGGUAACGGCCUACCAAGGCGACGAUCCGUAGCUGGUCUGAGAGGACGACCAGCCACACUGGGACUGAGACACGGCCCAGACUCCUACGGGAGGCAGCAGUGGGGAAUAUUGGACAAUGGGGGAAACCCUGAUCCAGCGACGCCGCGUGUGUGAAGAAGGCCUGCGGGUUGUAAAGCACUUUUAGUGGGGAUGAAAAGCUCAGGGCUAAUACCUCUGGGUCUUGACCUAACCCAAAGAAAAAGCACCGGCUAACUCUGUGCCAG